UACGAAGGGGGCUAGCGUUGCUCGGAAUCACUGGGCGUAAAGCGCACGUAGGCGGAUUGCUAAGUCAGGGGUGAAAUCCUGGAGCUCAACUCCAGAACUGCCUUUGAUACUGGCGACCUUGAGUCCGGGAGAGGUGAGUGGAACUGCGAGUGUAGAGGUGAAAUUCGUAGAUAUUCGCAAGACACCAGUGGCGAAGGCGGCUCACUGGCCCGGUACUGACGCUGAGGUGCGAAAAGCGUGGGGGAGCAAACAGG
rnacentral:rRNA from 1 species